GACGGAGGAUGCAAGCGUUAUCCGGAAUGAUUGGGCGUAAAGCGUCUGCAGGUGGCAGUUCAAGUCUGCUGUCAAAGACCGGGGCUUAACUUCGGAAAGGCAGUGGAAACUGAACAGCUAGAGUAUGGUAGGGGCAGAGGGAAUUCCUGGUGUAGCGGUGAAAUGCGUAGAGAUCAGGAAGAACAUCGGUGGCGAAGGCGCUCUGCUGGGCAGUAGCUGACGCUGAUGCGCGACAGCGUGGGGAGCAAACAGG
rnacentral:rRNA from 1 species